rnacentral:rRNA from 1 species
UACGAAGGGGCUAGCGUUGUUCGGAAUUACUGGGCGUAAAGGGCUCGUAGGUGGCCAACUAAGUCAGACGUGAAAUCCCUCGGCUUAACCGGGGACUGCGUCUGAUACUGGAUGGCUUGAGGUUGGGAGAGGGAUGCGGAAUUCCAGGUGUAGCGGUGAAAUGCGUAGAUAUCUGGAGGAAUACCGGUGGCGAAGGCGGCAUCCUGGACCAUAACUGACGCUGAGGCGGCGAAAGCUAGGGGAGCAAACGGG